rnacentral:rRNA from 1 species
GAUGAAUGCUGGCGGCGUGCCUAACACAUGCAAGUCGAGCGGCAGCGAGGGGUGCUUGCACCCUGUCGGCGAGCGGCGAACGGCUGAGUAACGCGUAGGAAUUUGCCCCAAAGUGAGGAAUAACUGCCCGAAAGGGUAGCUAAUGCCGCAUAUGGUCCUCGGAUUAAAGGAUUUAUCCGCUUUGGGAGAAGCCUGCGUUGGAUUAGGUUGUUGGUAGGGUAAUGGCCUACCAAGCCGACGAUCCAUAGCUGGUCUGAGAGGAUGAUCAGCCAGACUGGAACUGAGACACGGUCCAGACUCCUACGGGAGGCAGCAGUGAGGAAUCUUCCACAAUGGGCGAAAGCCUGAUGGAGCAACGCCGCGUGAAGGAUGAAGGCCUUCGGGUUGUAAACUUCUUUUAUGAGUGAAGAAUAUGACGGUAACUCAUGAAUAAGCACCGGCUAACUACGUG